CCCUUAGAGUUUGAUCCUGGCUCAGAAUCAACGCUGGCGGCGUGCCUAACACAUGCAAGUCGAACGCGAAAGCCCCGCAAGGGGUCAGUAGAGUGGCAAACGGGUGAGUAACACGUGGGUGAUCUGCCUCAGAGUGGGGGAUAACGACCCGAAAGGGUCGCUAAUACCGCAUAACAUCCUGCCUUUGGAUAGGUGGAGAUCAAAGCCGGGGAUCGCAAGACCUGGCGCUUGGAGAGGAGCCCGCGGCCGAUUAGCUAGUUGGUGAGGUAACGGCUCACCAAGGCGACGAUCGGUAUCCGGCCUGAGAGGGCGGACGGACACACUGGGACUGAGACACGGCCCAGACUCCUACGGGAGGCAGCAGUGGGGAAUUGUUCGCAAUGGGCGCAAGCCUGACGACGCAACGCCGCGUGGAGGACGAAGAUCUUCGGGUCGUAAACUCCUUUCGAUCGGGAAGAACGCCUUCCGGGUGAACAAUCCGGAAGGGUGACGGUACCGAGAGAAGAAGCCCCGGCUAACUCUGUGCCAGCAGCCGCGGUAAUACAGGGGGGGCAAGCGUUGUUCGGAAUUACUGGGCGUAAAGGGCUCGUAGGCGGCCAACUAAGUCACACGUGAAAUCCCCAGGCUUAACCUGGGAACUGCGUGUGAUACUGGAUGGCUUGAAUUCGGGAGAGGGAUGCAGAAUUCCAGGUGUAGCGGUGAAAUGCGUAGAUAUCUGGAGGAAUACGGGUGGCGAAGCGGCAUCCUGGACGACAUUGACGCUGAGAGCGAAAGCUAGGGAGCAAACGGAUAGAUACCC
rnacentral:rRNA from 1 species